rnacentral:rRNA from 1 species
CCUACGGGAGGCAGCAGUGAGGAAUAUUGGUCAAUGGGCGAGAGCCUGAACCAGCCAAGUCGCGUGAGGGAGUACUGCCCUAUGGGUUGUAAACCUCUUUUGUCGGGGAGCAAAAGCCGGACGUGUCCGGCUGUGAGAGUACCCGAAGAAAAAGCAUCGGCUAACUCCGUUCCAGCAGCCGCGGUAAUACGGAGGAUGCGAGCGUUAUCCGGGUUUAUUGGGUUUAAAGGGUGCGCAGGCGGAUUUUUAAGUCAGCGGUAAAAUCGUGGGGCUCAACCCCAUCCAGCCGUUGAAACUGGGGAUCUAGAGUGUGCGAGAGGUAUGCGGAAUGCGUGGUGUAGCGGUGAAAUGCAUAGAUAUCACGCAGAACCCCGAUUGCGAAGGCAGCAUACCGGUGCACAACUGACGCUCAGGCACGAAAGCGUGGGUAUCGAACAGGAUUAGAUACCCCUGUAGUC